rnacentral:RNase_P_RNA from 1 species
UCGGUGUGCGAUUCUAUCGCUCCGGCGCAGGCCGGGGAGGAAAGUCCGGACAAUACAGAGCGCCGCCCUGUGGAAAUCACAGGUAGCCGUAAGGUUAAGGACAGCGUAACAGAAAAUAACCGCCGCGCUCCGGCGCGGUAAGGGUGAAAAGGCGGGGUAAGCACCCGCCGGCGGCAACAGCGAUGUUGCCCGCCGUACGCACCGGCGGAUUGCAAGGCCAUGUACACCGGCAGCAUCAGGGUUGCUCGCCCGAUGCCGGGGGGUAGGCCGCAUAGAUAAAUGAUAGAACCCGACAGAAUCCGGCUUAUACGCACACCGGUUAU